UGCGAAGGGGGCUAGCGUUGUUCGGAAUCACUGGGCGUAAAGGGCGCGUAGGCGGCUUUAUAAGUCGGGGGUGAAAGCCUGUGGCUCAACCACAGAAUUGCCUUCGAUACUGUAUGGCUUGAGACCGGAAGAGGUUAGUGGAACUGCGAGUGUAGAGGUGAAAUUCGUAGAUAUUCGGAAGAACACCAGUGGCGAAGGCGGCUCACUGGCUCAUACUGGACGCUGAGGUGCGAAAGCGUGGGGAGCAAACAGG
rnacentral:rRNA from 1 species